rnacentral:rRNA from 1 species
AGCAGCCGCGGUAAUUCCAGCUCCAAUAGCGUAUAUUAAAGUUGUUGCAGUUAAAAAGCUCGUAGUUGAAUUUCGGGGUUAGUAGGUUGGUCAUGCCUCUGGUAUGUACUGGUCUCACUGAUUCCUCCUUCCUGAUGAACCUUAAUGCCAUUAAUUUGGUGUUUUGGGGAAUUUGGACUGUUACUUUGAAAAAAUUAGAGUGUUUAAAGCAAGCUAACGCUUGAAUACAUUAGCAUGGAAUAAUGAAAUAGGACGUUCGAUCCUAUUUUGUUGGUUUCUAGGAUUGGCGUAAUGAUUAAUAGGGAUAGUUGGGGGCAUUAGUAUUCAAUUGUCAGAGGUGAAAUUCUUGGAUUUAUUGAAGACUAACUACUGCGAAAGCAUUUGCCAAGGAUGUUUUCAUUAAUCAGAACGAAAGUUAGGGGAUCGAAGACGAUCAGAUACCGUCGUAGUCUUAACCAUAACUAUGCCGACUAGGGAUCGGAUGAUGUUAAUUUUUUAAUGUACUCAUUCGGCGCCUUAC